rnacentral:misc_RNA from 1 species
UUUAUCUCAAUCUCCUUGUCUUCUUAAUUGAAGUCUCGGGGCUUGGAUCUGGAGGCCUUGCUGGCAGUUAUGUCGGCUCCUCUUAAAUACAUUAGCUGGACUUUGGUUCGCGUUACUGGUGUAAUAGAUUUAUGUUCGCCAGACGCUUGCCUAAUGGGUUUGCUUCUAAUCGUCUUCGGACAAGGUCUUUGACCUUCUUGACAC